CGCAUCUGUGCAUGCAGCAUAUCAAUAAGCGGAGGAAAAGAAACUAACAAGGAUUCCCUUAGUAACGGCGAGUGAAGCGGGAAGAGCUCAAAUUUGAAAUCUUCAAGGUUUUACCUUGACGAAUUGUAGUUUAAAGAAGUGUUUUCUGUUGAAGUUUUGGUAAAAGUUCUUUGGAAUAGGACAUCAUAGAGGGUGAGAAUCCCGUAUUUGACCAUUAUUUUCAGCUGUGUGAUACACUUUCUAAGAGUCGGAUUGUUUGGGAAUGCAGUCCAAAAUGGGUGGUAAAUUUCAUCUAAAGCUAAAUAUUGGCGAGAGACCGAUAGCGAACAAGUACCGUGAGGGAAAGAUGAAAAGAACUUUGAAAAGAGAGUUAAACAGUACGUGAAAUUGUCAAAAGGGAAGCGUUUGACACCAGUGUUGUUUUCUCGAAAAUCAAUUAAAAAGAGUUUAGAUUUUGUUGUGUAUUGACCUUAACAGCUUGCAUUUCAAUUUUCUUGCUUUUUUUAAUGCACUUUUCGUUUAACAAGUCAACAUCAGUUUCUUUUGUUGUAAAAAGGUCAUUGGAAGGUGGCUUUCUUUUCGGAGAAAGUGUUUAUAGCCUUUGACUCCUGCAAUCGGAGAGACUGAGGUCUGCAGCGUAGAUCCUUCGGGGUUAGAUACAUUUGUGCUAAGUUAUAGCUUUUUAUAGACAACUUGUUGACUAUGAUUAGUCUUGUAGCUUACUCGCUUAUGCUAUUUUACCUACGCUUAGGAUGUUGACACACGCGCGUGCUCG
rnacentral:rRNA from 1 species